rnacentral:tRNA from 1 species
UUAAUAGCGGAGUGGUUAACGCGUCAGCCUGCUAAGCUGAUUCCUUCGGGAGCGUGUGUUCGAAUCACACAGGUGUCGGGAAAG